GGACAAGAGGCUGGCAGAGGUUUCACUCCCUGCAGUGCUGAGGCCUGCUGGGUGGCAGAAGUCACAAAGGAAGAGGUUAAACUGAGAGGCUUCCAAUGAUGUAACCACAGAUGGACUUUUGAGCAAAAACAAGUAAACAAUACAUGAUUUACUGAGAACCCAUACGUUCGAUAUCAUGACGCUAGCAAGGAAAACAGCAAUUGAUCAUCAGUACCUAAGACUGCCAUUCUCCAUUGGGCCAGCCUCCCACCGGACUUUAGGGAGGGAUAUGAAAGCCAGAAUCUGGCCCCAGGCCAGCAAGAAGCCACAACCACAGAAGAGCUUCCAGGCAGCAGUGAAGCAGUUCAGUCUCAAAGAAAGCCAGACAGGAGUCCAAAUGCCUGUGUUCCUUCUGGAGUUCGCUAUAUGACCUCACUAUAAUCCCUUCACCACUGUGGGCUUAUUUUCUCAUCUGGAGGACGAAUGGGUAAGAAGAGACUUCUGAGGUCUUUUUCCUGCUCUAAAAUUCUGUGAUUUCACAAUAACUGAAUACAGUCACUAAACGGGAAACCACCAGGACACUGGGGGGCGGCCAGCACAUAGC
rnacentral:lncRNA from 1 species